rnacentral:lncRNA from 1 species
AGUGCUAAAAGAAGUGAUGUUAGCAAAAAGUCCUAACGAAUACCAUGAUGAAAGAGGGUGAAGCAAGGGAGACCAUAUAAGAGUGUACUGGAAUAACCCAGGAGUGAGAUGGAUGUGGAAGGGAUUCAGCUCAGACGGUCUCACCUUCAGACCUGCCUCCAGUGUCACCAGUACUCAGUGAAAGAACUUUGCCAUGAACACUCUGCAAUGUAUGAAGAGGGCUCUUUAUAUUUGUCCUGCAGCAUGUAUCACACUAUAUUCUAAUAGUCUGCUAAUUUGCUUGAGAAUUCGACAGUCUUUUGUUCUUCUCUCAGGCCAAAUGAAAUAUGUCUUUCUUAUUUUGUACCAAUAAAAAGCCUCAUACAUGAUAAUGACCCCUUGUGGAAUAAAUUGACUAAAAUUUUGUAAUAGAAAACAUAAAAUUGGGCUGCAUGCAAGGAAAACAAUGUCAAUGUUGGAUUUACAACUCAUAAUUUUUCUCAGUUGCAAAGACAGGCAGUCAAUUAUUGAUAUGAAACACUGAAAUACAAGA